AACGAACGCUGGCGGCAUGCCUAACACAUGCGAGUCGAACGAGACCUUCGGGUCUAGUGGCGCACGGGUGCGUAACGCGUGGGAACCUGCCCUUAGGUUCGGAAUAACUCCCCGAAAGGGGUGCUAAUACCGGAUAAUGUCUUCGGACCAAAGAUUUAUCGCCUUUGGAUGGGCCCGCGUUGGAUUAGCUAGUUGGUAGGGUAAAAGCCUACCAAGGCGACGAUCCAUAGCUGGUCUGAGAGGAUGAUCAGCCACACUGGGACUGAGACACGGCCCAGACUCCUACGGGAGGCAGCAGUGGGGAAUAUUGGACAAUGGGCGAAAGCCUGAUCCAGCAAUGCCGCGUGAGUGAUGAAGGCCUUAGGGUUGUAAAGCUCUUUUACCCGGGAUGAUAGUGACAGUACCGGGAGAAUAAGCUCCGGCUAACUCCGUG
rnacentral:rRNA from 1 species